ensembl:snRNA U2 U2 spliceosomal RNA
AUCGCUUCUCGGCCUUUUGGCUAAGAUCAAGUGUAGUAUCUGUUCUUAUCAGUUUAAUAUCUGAUACGUCCUCUAUCCGAGGACAAUAUAUUAAAUGGAUUUUUGGAACAGGGAGAUGGAAUAGGAGCUUGCUCCGUCCACUCCACGCAUCGACCUGGUAUUGCAGUACUUCCGGGAACGGUGCAUCUCCC